rnacentral:rRNA from 1 species
UACGUAGGGCGCAAGCGUUGUCCGGAAUUAUUGGGCGUAAAGAGCUCGUAGGCGGUUUGUCGCGUCUGGUGUGAAAACUCAAGGCUCAACCUUGAGCUUGCAUCGGGUACGGGCAGACUAGAGUGUGGUAGGGGUGACUGGAAUUCCUGGUGUAGCGGUGGAAUGCGCAGAUAUCAGGAGGAACACCAGAGUGAAGGCAGUC